rnacentral:rRNA from 1 species
AGCUGUUUCGAAGAAGAAGGACCAGUCCACAUGGAGCUGAGAACUGGCUAGAAUCCUACGGAAGGCAGCAGUGGGAUUUGGGACAAUUGGGGCCACUGAUCAGCAAUGCCGGCGUGAGGGAAGAAGGCUCGGUUGUAAGCUCUUUUGUCAGGGAAGAAACGGUCCGGGCUAAAUAUCCUGGGCUAAUGACGGUACUGAAGAAAUAAGCACCGGGCUAACUACGUGCAGCAGCCGCGGGUAAUACGUAGGGUGCGAGCGUUAAUCGGAAUUACUGGGCGUAAAGCGUGCGCAGGCGGUUGUGCAAGACAGAUGUGAAAUCCCCGGGCUCAACCUGGGAAUUGCAUUUGUGACUGCACGGCUAGAGUGUGUCAGAGGGGGGUAGAAUUCCACGUGUAGCAGUGAAAUGCGUAGAGAUGUGGAGGAAUACCGAUGGCGAAGGCAGCCCCCUGGGAUAACACUGACGCUCAUGCACGAAAGCGUGGGGAGCAAACAGGAUUAGAUACCCUGGUAGUCCACGCCCUAAACGAUGUCAACUAGUUGUCGGGUCUUAAUUGACUUGGUAACGCAGCUAACGCGUGAAGUUGACCGCCUGGGGAGUACGGUCGCAAGAUUAAAACUCAAAGGAAUUGACGGGGACCCGCACAAGCGGUGGAUGAUGUGGAUUAAUUCGAUGCAACGCGAAAAACCUUACCUACCCUUGACAUGGCAGGAAUCCUUGAGAGAUCAGGGAGUGCUCGAAAGAGAACCUGCACACAGGUGCUGCAUGGCUGUCGUCAGCUCGUGUCGUGAGAUGUUGGGUUAAGUCCCGCAACGAGCGCAACCCUUGUCAUUAGUUGCUACGAAAGGGCACUCUAAUGAGACUGCCGGUGACAAACCGGAGGAAGGUGGGGAUGACGUCAAGUCCUCAUGGCCCUUAUGGGUAGGGCUUCACACGUCAUACAAUGGUACAUACAGAGGGCCGCCAACCCGCGAGGGGGAGCUAAUCCCAGAAAGUGUAUCGUAGUCCGGAUUGGAGUCUGCAACUCGACUCCAUGAAGUUGGAAUCGCUAGUAAUCGCGGAUCAGCAUGUCGCGGUGAAUACGUUCCCGGGUCUUGUACACACCGCCCGUCACACCAUGGGAGCGGGUUUUACCAGAAGUAGGUAGCUUAACCGCAAGGAGGGCGCUUACCACGGUAGGAUUCGUGACUGGGGUGAAGUCGUAACAAGGUAACC